UAGGAGUAGUGCUUCAGAUAGCGGACCCAACCAGGGUAGACCAGGAUAGUGUGUAUUCAGUCAGUGCAGAGCAGAGCAAAUCAAAUCAGACAAAACACGAUGGCAUCAGCAGCGCCAUUCUCCGGCAGUCUCCUUUGCCUGACAAAACCAGGAACACCACAGCCCCCGUGCUUCUCCCCUCCGCCGUCUCGCUCCCACUUCCACCUUCGAACCCGACCCCCCAAGGCAAAGAGGCCAGUCGCCGGAGCCAUCGCCUCCUCUUCCAUGGCGGCAGCCCAGCCACAGACGCGCGAUGGCCAGCAACAAGGGGCGGAGGAGGCCAUGAAGCUGCUGUUCGUCGAGAUGGGCGUCGGGUACGACCAGCACGGACAGGACAUCACCUCCGCCGCGGUGCGCGCCUGCAAGGAUGCCAUCUCCUCCAACUCCAUCCCCGCCUUCCGCCGCGGGUCGAUACCAGGGGUAAACAGUGAGCAGAUGAAGCUGCAGAUUAAGCUGGGUGUCCCGAGGCCGGUGCAGCAUCUGUUGGACUUUGAGAGAAUCAAGGCCGUCUUCCCCUACUACACUAAAGGAGUUACACGACCGGACUAAUUAGCGUUUGCUAACGGCCGCAGGCUGCAUGCAGUCGCCAUGCAUGAGGUGGCUGAUGUUUAAGGCUUCAACUAACACACCUAUAUGUAUUCUGCUUCAAAUGAACACGCCAUUGCAAGGGAAGAUGACUAAUUGGCUAUCAUCGAAGCUUUGUAUGCUAGUGAUAGAACUUCGGCCAAUCACACACGUAUUCAUACAUCCAUCCUUACGGGAGACCGAAUUGAGAUGUAAAAGAGAUUUUCAGAUGGAGAAGUAUAUUUUUCGUAACUUGGUCCAGUGCCUUUGAGAGGGAUGCCAUCUAAGAGAUACAAAUUUUGUCUCGGUGGAAGAACAGGUAGGCAUAUUUCUUUAUGCCGUUUCGAACAGUGCAACCAAUUGUACACUCCAAGGGCAAUUUCAGCAUAGUGGUGAGACCAUAAGCCGCUAUUCCAAUAUUGUGUUGAACGCACUCAUGAUAUUUUCUGGAAGUGUAAUACAGUUGCCUCCAAUUAAUGUUCCUUUCAAAGUUGCAAGCAAUCCAAAAUUUAUGCCAUAUUUCAUGGUAUUAUUCACAGUAAACUCACCACAGUUGAGUAAUAUUAGUGUCACAAAGGCUUGGAUAUAAGCGCAUCAUAAUCGACAAUAGCUAACUUGGGAGUUAGAGGGCUUGCCUAGGAUAUCUGAUUCCGAGGCUUUAAUUCAGUGGAGUUACUGAACUACUGAUAAUUUGCAUCUUGAUGUACCACAUGACAUGUUAUACUCCCCCUUUUAGAACAUAAUAUCUCAUAUCCUUUUUUUCGUUAUUUGUAGUGGUGAGAUCACCAGCUGCGAGGUCGUUGACGGCGGGAUGAUCUGUUCAAGUGGAACAUGCAUCGAAGCAAUGGGAGA